ACGAUUAAGACUUCAGAAGAGCAGGAAACUAUGCUGUGGAGAAACAACAUGGACAAAAGCAUAUGUAUAAAUGUCGUUUUUAAUUUUUGUAAGGGGUUAGGGAGCUAUUUUGUUUCGUUCCUUUAUUUUCCCUCUGUCUUCUUUGUUUUACCCAUCCUUCAGUUCUGCUUAGAGCACCUCACUUCCCCAGAGAAGGCCUGCCUCUCUGCGGAGAGCCAGGGUGGGUCCCGGCCUGGGGGGCAUGAAGACAGAAGGCAGCCUGUGGGCCACCUCCCCCCACAGACACAGGCGCUGCCGGACUCCGCGGGCCUCCCUCGGGCCUUAGAAAUGGUCAGAGGUGAAGAAGGACCUGGAAGAGGAAGACAGGGUUUGGCCCGGAGAACUCAAGAAAGAAAGUCUCAACUGCGGGGCCCUCAAAUACCAAGGCUGCUGCUGCUUCCUGGGCAGACGGUUGGCCGUGGUGAGCAGGGCUGCAGGUGGGAGCCGUGCCCUUCCCUUCCUUGUGAAAUCCUUCAUGCCCACCCGCCCCAUCUCCUCUCUGGCUUCUCAGGCCACCGGAGUGCACCCUGAGCCGCCCCCGGGAGGGUGGGGAGCACAGUGUCCCUGACUGCAGCGCACCCUCCUUCUCUGCCUCCCCUCCCCUCCCCUCCCCUUGGGGGCAGCUGAUGGUGAGAACUAGGGGACUGGUUCUCACCCCACGUUCCCUGGCUGCAGCCCCCGCCCUCAGGUUCUUGGUCAAGGCUCAGGCCUAACCUGAGGCCCUUUGCUUCAACUUCACCUCGGCCCUCCCCCGGUCUCUAACCUCCAUCUGGAUCAGGUCUCGGAGCUGCAGCGGUCCCCCUUCAUUAUUUCUCUUGGCAUCAAUGUAGCCCCCGUAGGUCACAGGAUGUCUCUGCCUUUUGGGCAAGGCAGGCAGCCUGGGAGGGCCAGCACUUAUCUUGCAGUCCUCAGCUACCCUUGCUUGGUGGCAGGUCCUCCUUCCCAGGCUCACGAUGGCCAGCUCGUUAGCCCCAAGUGCCUGUCUCUCCCUCUUGCUCCCUCCACCCCCGCCCCCCCACUUUGUCCACCCCGGGUGCCCAGCCAGCCAGGUGGACGUCAACCCCAAGUGAGCGCCGGCUCGGCCCACAGCCAGUGGACUAGCCUCGGUUGGACCCAGGUAGCUCCCAUCCGCUUCUCAGCCACCUUCCCCCUGUUCUCGCUGUGGGUCAGCCUGCUGCCUCUUCUUCCACCUCUUCAUCCUCUCCGCCUGCAGUUGGGGCCUGGCGGCAGCCCUGUGCCACCUCAUCUCAGCGCCACCACGUUCGUAAGGCCUGUGCAAGUUCUAGGAGUUCCAAACCUUGAAAUAGCAGUCACUCUCUUCUCCUUGGAUCUGUGAAACGGUUAGCCCGCAGCGGGGAGGUUCUGGGCCUGAGACCUCUGGGUCUUGAGCUCAGUAUCCCCCCCAGCGAGAGGACUCAGCAAGACAGAUCAUAGUGCCUUAUUCCACUGCCCUCGCUUGACCAGACCUGCUGGCUCCGCUGGAAGUCCGUGGCAUCCUUCUCCCUAUGUCUGUCUGUCACUUAACCUCUCGCUCCCGCCCACAGAGAGCCAUGAGGGAAGCCAGGCCCAGGGCUCCCGCCACCACCGGGACACUAAGCGCAGCUAUAGCCGAGGACAGAACAACCAUGUUUCCACCAGGUGGAUGCUCUCUGCCUCUCACUACCCAGCAGGCCCCCUGCCUCUUACCUCUAGCCAGGAGGAUGCUGCAGUCUGUCCGUUCAGGACUGGCUCCGUUUGACCCCUUUCUGGGCACCGGGGACGAAAGGCGCAGGCCUUAGCCCCCUUUCAUCCCAGAAGCAUUGGGACAGGAGAGUGGGACUUCUUUCCUCCCACCCAGACGUGGUUUGCCCCCGAUUGGCUGCCUUUCUGAGGGAGUGUAUUCAAUGUUUACUUAAGAAAUACCCUGUUUACAGCUAGAGGAGAAACGAGCCCAACACUGGCAGAGAUCUGACUCCUGAUGGGGCCUGGCCUCCUUUCGGGCACUGCCAGUGGGGGGUCCCAGAGCGAAUGAAGGCUGAGCCCGCAGGGGCGCGCGCCCUGCACCCCCUCUGCUCCCUGACCCCGCGGUGCUAAGACCACUCACACCACCUUCGCAGCCUUCUUGCCCCUGGACAUUCCCCACCUCCACCAUUCCCUUCCUCCCAAGUUCUCUGCUCCUUGACAUAUCAGCUGUUUCCUAGAAAACCAGUGUUUGGAGCAAUAAGAUUAUUUUUGCCUGAGUCUUUUUUCUGAGAAAAGGUAAAGAGCCGGCAUUGUAGGAAUGUUCUAUUUAUGCUGUUGCAGUUUACCUUUUCAGAAGACAGAUCUUUGUAGGACGGCUGUCUGGGUUUCAGCCUCAGAGUAUCUUUUGGAAACUUGGAACAGCAGGAGUUGGGCCUCCACCCCCUAAGAAGGGGACCCCUAACUCUCUGCCCUCACCUUGCUCCAUGCUGCCUGGGCUCCUGGCUCUGCCCACCAAGUGCGCCUGUCCCCUCUGAUCCUCCUUGUGCCCCCCCCCCCCGUACACACCCAUCUGGGGGCACCAGUGGCUCCUGGGUUAUUGCUCCCCCCUGACUCCCUUCCCCUCCCUUGGCCUGCGUGGUGGCCCCCAGACCACAGCGCUACUGGAGUCACCUAGGAACUGACAGCCUGACAACAGCCAAGCCUGGGGCUAAGGCCCGGAGAUGGCACCUUGGCCGUCCUCCCACACUGGGCCGAGGCACGGCCUCCGGGACGCCAGGCCCAUCUCUGAUCCUGCCUGCCAGGCUCGGAGGUCAGGGACUCCUGUCCAGAGAGAUGCCCUCAGAGGGAAAGCGAGGAGGUGGGACAGGAGGGCUGGCGAAUGUAAGCUUCCAAGGUCACCAUCGAGAGGUGAAGCCACUCCCACUGGUUACCCAGAGGCCCCCACAUCUUUUCCCAGGAGGGGCCACAUGAAAGGAAGGGAGUUUGUUCAGGAACGUUGUAAAGAACUCUUUAUGUGCCCCAGGGGGCCUCCUCCAUCACAGCCGGGGAGUAUGAGGCCACGAUUUAACAUGCAGGUGGGGACGACUUGGAUGUGAGGGAGGCACCGAGUAACCCAGGCACAAAGUUAGCUUCAGAUACUAGUUAAUCUAUUUUUCUUUAUUUUCUUUUUUUGCACAGAAGCUGGUAAUCUAGGACCUACGUGUGAACAACUUUAUAUGAAUAUUUUUUGUACUUGGUUUACUUGGGUUGGUAUGAUACAUUAUAUUUAAGUUCCUUGAACACUGUGGAUCCCCCUAAUGUGUAUGAAUGACUGAGGCUUUGUAAAUUAAGGGACGUUUGUGUGAAUAAAGUUAUUUGAUGGGGUCAAAGAAGCCAUAUGUGAUUUGAAAA